rnacentral:snoRNA from 14 species
UUGCAUUCCUAAACCUUCUUGGUAGCUUCGCUGAAAACGCUUCCAAGAUAUCAGUGAAUGCUAUAGAAAUCGCAGGGGAGUCCAAAAGGCUGCCCUUCUCCUGUGGAUCAGUCUUAUUUCAUACCUGCGACAUAU